GAGAAAGCCUUGGAACUGCAGCAUCAGGCGAUAUAUCAAUCGUUUCCCUUAAUUUUGCAAUGACUUCGCUUAUCGUUGGUCUCUUCCUUAUAUUUUCUUCAAGGCAUUCUUCAAUUACCACACAGAUAGCCAUAAGCUCAUUAUUUUUGAAAGACUUGAGUGUUGGAUCAACCAAGGAGCUCACAUUCGUCUUAUCUUUAAGGUAUUGCUCCGCCCAGUUCAGAAGAGACCCUUGUUCUUCUGAAUAAGGUGACUUUCCAGAAAUUAUUUCUAGUAACAGAAUCCCAAAACUAUAGAUAUUUGUUUCAGGAUCAGCAAGCGCCGGCAGCUCAGAAUUUUCUAAAUCAUCCCUCGAGUCCUUAGACUUGGCUAUUAGUUCUGACCAGAAAUCAAUCUCUGUAAUCUUAGCAGCAUAAUCGUCAGUCAAAAAUAUGGCAUUUGAAUUCAAGCUGGAAUGGGGCACUGGAGGAUUCAGAUCAUGCAUGUACUGAAGACAAUAUGCUGUUCCCAUUAUGGCUCUCACCCUUGCAGACCAGUCAAGAGGAUCGGUUUCUUUAACAUGUAGAUGCUCAGAAAGAGUUCCAUUUGGAGCAUAC
rnacentral:misc_RNA from 1 species